CAGAGUAUUACACUCCCUAACCCAUUGCGAACAUACCUAUUGUUGCUUCGGCGGUGCCGCCCCCGGAGCCCUUCGGGGCAUCGGAUCAGGCGCCCGCCGGAGGCUCUAAACCUCUGAAUUUACCAUUGUGGAAUUUCUGAGUGGCGAAAGCAAAAACGAAUCA
rnacentral:misc_RNA from 1 species